UGUGAUAAUGUGCCAAGUCCUGACCGGACGGGUGACUCAUCUAGUAUUAGUAUAAAUGUGACACUUUUAAAAGUGAUUUAUUGGGAUUAGCUGGUGUUUGAAAUAAACAAUCUCAGACAAUGGGUCUGUGCUGCAGUUGCUGCUGUGAUGAUGGUGGUGGUGUUAACGUGGUGCAGCAGCCUAAUGAGGGCGGCUGGGGCGGCGGUCCCCCCUCUGUUAUGGUGGUAGACGACGCGCCAGGUCCUAUGGGCAGAUGACAGAGUGGUUAUUAACAUUUAAUUAAUUAAUAUUUAUUGAUUUUUUUGCAAUUUUUAUUAAUAUUUAAUUAUAUUAAUAAAAAUGUUUAUGUUCUAUUUUUUAUUUUGGCAAGUAAUUUCUUUGAUUUUAUAUUCAGUUAUAAUGAUUAAAGAUUUGUUUCCGAUGUAA